rnacentral:rRNA from 1 species
UACGUAGGGCGCGAGCGUUGUCCGGAAUUAUUGGGCGUAAAGAGCUCGUAGGCGGCCUGUUGCGUCCGCUGUGAAAUCCCGGGGCUUAACCCUGGGCGUGCAGUGGAUACGGGCAGGCUGGAGGCAGGCAGGGGAGAACGGAAUUCCCGGUGUAGCGGUGAAAUGCGCAGAUAUCAGGAGGAACACCGGUGGCGAAGGCGGAUCUCUGGGCCAUUACUGACGCUGAGGAGCGAAAGCGUGGGGAGCGAACAGG